UACGUAGGGUGCAAGCGUUAAUCGGAAUUACUGGGCGUAAAGCGCGCGCAGGCGGUUGGGCAAGUCCGAUGUGAAAGCCCCGGGCUUAACCUGGGAAUGGCAUUGGUGACUGCACGGCUAGAGUGUGUCAGAGGGGGGUAGAAUUCCACGUGUAGCAGUGAAAUGCGUAGAGAUGUGGAGGAAUACCGAUGGCGAAGGCAGCCCCCUGGGAUAACACUGACGCUCAUGCACGAAAGCGUGGGGAGCAAACAGG
rnacentral:rRNA from 1 species